UCGGCGAUCUGGACGGCGUUCAGCGCCGCGCCCUUGCGGAGGUUGUCGUUGGUGACGAACAGUGCGAGGCCGUUGUCGACGGUC
rnacentral:tRNA from 1 species